rnacentral:tRNA from 1 species
UGUUUUAGUUUACCUUAAUGAUAAAAUCUGCAUGGGGUGCAGGGGGUCGCAGGUUCGAAUCCUGUCAACCCGACCA